AAAAGUGUCUAUCUAACGACAUUUCUUGGUUUAACAAAAUAUACCUUAAAAAUAAAAGAAUAUUCUGUUAAAUUUAACGAUGUUAAUAGGUUUGAUCUCCCGUUAACAAAUAAACCCAAUAAUUAAACCCAAAAAAUUAAACAAUCUUUUUUAAUUAAAAAAAAUCAUUUAACCACAUAUCUCUCUAACAAACGGUAUAUUCCCAAAUUUAACAGAUAUUAAUAAUAUUAAUAAUAACACAUAUUUAGAAUUUUAACAAAAUAAGUCUCGAACUCUCCGUGUUUGAAAAAUAAAACUACAUCAUUAAUAUCUUAUAUUAUUAAUAUUAUUGUUAAAAUCCUGGUGAAGUGCGAUUAUUCUCUUCAAUUGAUUAUUCUCUAAAUAUUAGUAAAUUGUUUUUAUCGUAACCCUAACUUCUCUACACAAUCAUAAACCUAACUCCACUGAAAUCGUAAUUCUGUUGAUGAAAUUGUAAACCAACUCCCCUAAAUUAAUGAGGAUCAAAUCGCUGGGUCACCACUCUCAAUCAACCUUUCAAAGAGUCUUGAAUAAUCUAUUUUUAAGUUUUGAAGAAAUUUUCUAAGUCAAGCCCAACAACGAGAAUAUGAUAUUGCCAGGAGCACAGAAAAUGGCCUUAGUGUCGCAAGAAGGACCGCUUCAAACAUCGAGGAAUUUUUCAUCAAGGGUGAUGUGAGAUUUCUGGCUCAGCACUUAAUCAAACAUGUGUUAGGUUUUGCUAUCGCAAUAAUAAUUUCUUCAUAUAUAGUUUUAGCAUUUUUUUUUUUAAAUAGAUAUUGUUUAUUGAUUGUUGUGAGCGAUAAUUUGAUAUGCACUCUUUAAUGUAUUGUUUAUUUUCUAAUUUUUAUUCCAUUGAAAAUCAAUACAUGACUGCACGUAUCAAUCAUAUUUAUCUUUAUUGAAGCCUAUUUUUUUUUAGUGCAAAUAUAUAUGUGAUCAGUUCUAUCAUUUAAAAAAAGAUUGUUACAUAUGUGUGAUUACGACCACCAAUAUUAGUACACCAUACCUCAUUGAAAUUAUCCUACAGUUAUUAUAAAUAUUGAUUUUGUGCUAUUUUGAUCUAAUUUGUUUCUUGAGAAUGCCUUUGAAGAAUUUUACCAUCUUUUGUUUGUACAUUUACAUUUUUUAUGAUUUUUCGCCAUCAUUAAUAUGCUUUUUGACAUUUUUUGAGGCUUAAAGGUAGGUGAAUAUAUUUUGGUGGAGCACAAUACAUAAUUGACAGUGGAGCAGGUUUAUGAUUUUUUCAGUCUUGCUUGGGAUUCGUUCGACCACUUCCUAUGGCGAAAUAAUAAGGCAUUCUAUUUUUUUUUUCCUUUUGUGGGGAUGAUGAUAUGAAAAUGAGACUACAUUUCACAGAGAAAGGGAUGGUGUAAUAAUGGGUCAUGGUUAUGGUUAUUCUCUUUGAUUUUUAACAAAUAAUAAAAUAAUUAUGGAAACUUUCUUUAGAAACAUAUUAUUUAAAAAAAUUAAUAAAGAAAAAUAAAUAUUAAAAAAGAUGACUCAAUACUUGCCACAUUAUAUAAAAACAGUAGAUACUGUAUGUGCAUUCGUUUCCAAAGAGCAUUGUCUUAUAUAUUCUAUUUGUUUUACUUUAUACACAAGCAUUGAUAAAUUGGUUUAAUUAUGUACAGAAUAAUUUCUAUAUAAUCAAUUAUAUAUUCACUGUUUUUUUUUAUUAAUAUUGUUAGAGUAUGUUCUCAAAUUUUUUAAACUUUAAACUUUUUUUUUUUUUAAUUUUCAAAAGUUACAAUUUCUUAUUUUAAUUAAUUUUCAAAACAUUAAUAUUAUUCCUUUAAUACAUUUUGCCAGUUUAUAUUUA